CAUCAAAAAUUCUUUUUUUUUUUUAAAUUAUGAAACUUAUGCCAAAAUUUUUACAAAAUUGCAAGCUUUAUUUUGAUGCUGAUUUUAAAUUUUUUUGUAUAUUACACUUCUAAUCUUUAUUAAAAGGUCAAAUGUAAAAAUAAAAUAUUAAAAUUCUAAAAAUGCAAAAUAAUCGAAUAAAAUUAUGAAGAAUCCAUAUAAAAAAAAAAUCAGAAAGUGUUUUGUCUGGCAAAAUUAAUUUUGUUACAACUAAGUCACCUUAGAAUUUUUUGGACAAAGCUUUUGCGCAUGAGAUGAGAAAGAGGGAUUCCAGGCUGAAACUUAUACACAAAUAUUUUUCCAAAUGUCAUAUUUUUUAGAAGCCAGAGGAUUCAUUUUUGUGACUGCAACAAAUUGUCGGGCUGUGAUCAUCGAGCAUAGAGGUAUCUCUGUAUAUUCCUUCCAAGUCUCCUUCUUUCCUUUGUUAACUACAAAUUCACAUACACACCCCCGCACAAGCUCUUUGUGCUUUCAAUUUUUCAUACGAGAAAAGCAUUUAACUGGAAGAAAUUUUGUGUAUUGGUUUUUGAUUUCAGAUUAUGCAUUCCUCUUUGGCUUAUAAUCUUCAUCUAUUGUCCUUGUUAUCGUCUUUCUCUUUUUUUAUGGAUUGCUUUUGGACUGCUGCCACAUCCAAAGUUCUCAAAUUUUAAUGGCCUGAUGAAGUACCUAGUUAAAUUUUACAAAAUUUUCCCCUAUUAUUAACUUUUAAGGUAAUUAUCAUACAAGUUGAAUCUUUCAACUUCAAUUUAAUUUUAUAAAAGGCAUUAAAACUUAAAAGUUAAUUAAAUGAGUAACGGAGAAAGGGGAGGGUUUGACGGUGAUGGAAUACCUGAAUUUAUUUUAUGCAUCUUUUUUUAAAGAAAUUAAUAAUAUAAAGUAAUUUUAUUGAUAAAAUAGUUAACCAAUCAGCAAUUUAACUUAGAAAUUUUUAAUUUAUAAUUACAAUGAAAUUUAGUUAGUUUUAUAAAAGAAAUUAAAAUUUAGUAAUUUUUAUGAAAACCCUUAUUGUUUGUGAUAUUUACCCCAUCUUAGUAACAUUCAUGAUGAACUUGAAUGUUGUGCAUGAGUUGUUAGAUAGAAUGUCCUGCUUUUGAAGAUUUAAAUUCAAAAUAAUAAUAAUUGUUAUUGUUGCGUUUAUCUUUCUUAUUGUGUUGGAUUUCCAUUUUCUGUUGGUUACUUGGUUAACUAUAGCAUUGGAGGUUUCUACAACUUCUGUUUGCCUUUUUGUUGCUACAAGAUUGUAUAGUCCCUGCAAUAGUUAUUGUAUUCAUUUUGUUGACUGGAAUGCAUUUAUAUGCACAAAUCCAUGGCAUAGAGGUUAAAGUUCUUUGAUAGGCAGUGAUUACAGUCAUUGGAACGUGCUAUACACUGGAAAAAGUGAAAGGGAGAAAAAGAAGAACAAGUUAGAGGAGCAGAUAAGGAUAAUUUAGGUGCACUGAGUUUUCCCAUCUAUUUAGCUGGGGCAGUAAUUGUAUUAUUAUUAUUAUUAU
rnacentral:misc_RNA from 1 species